GUGACUUGCAUCUCUGAGUAACAGGAUCACAGGAGAACUCCUGGAAGAUACUGUGGCAAGGACCCCUGAACAGCAGGACCAAGCUGUUCUGCUCUGUAUGGGAGGAAUAACUUGAUAGCUGGUUCAGAUUCAGCAAGACAAUUCAAGCUGUUCGCUGAAGGUGCCGGAGAGAGCUGAGGAAGACUGGCAGAGACACUUGUGCUACCGUUACUCUUGCUGCCUCCCAUGUGUCUGGAAAUGGUCCAAAUACAUGCAAGAAACAUCUGACCUCAAGAUAUCAAUGAGCACUUCAAAGUGCCGAUCUGUUCAUUCAUUUUGACUGUCAUCAUGGCCAAGGCAUUGAGAAGAUGACAAACCUGAUCAAGACCAUGCUGUGUAUGUUCUCUGAGCCCAGAUUCCUGCGCAAGUUCUUGGGCUUGCCUCACGUGAUCAUUAAGUCCAUCUUCCAUUGAGAUCCUUCAACUUUUCUCUCCGUGUUCGUUUAUGGAAGCCCGAUGACUGUGCUAAAACAGGGUGUUUGGUUUCGUUCCCUCGGACAAGGCAAAAAGGGAGGUGUAGUUUCCAGAUACAGAUACUUCUUACCUUUUCUUUUUUCCUUUUUGUGAUUGCAGUAUUCUUUCUUUAGGACAACUGGCAAUUUUUUUUUUUCUAUGAAAUGUUCGUGUUAAACAAAACUGAAAGGUGAGAGAGCUCAAAAAAUUAAAAUAUCAGAUAUAUGCCUGUAAAUUUUCACCUCUUAUAGACUAAACUGGAUAAGACAUUCUCAGCUUUGUUAAAGAGAGAAAAAUAUCAUGAAAUAACACAUGCUUCAUGAUAGUAAUUCUCUUCUCCUUUAGUUGAAUUUUAACCUUUUGUUGCUUAGCACAGUGAGCUGCGCUCUGCAGCCAGAAGUUCUUAUAAAGCAUUGCCAGGAAGGCCAGCAGGUUUACACACCAUGUAGUCUCCCCUCUCUUUCGCCUUCGUUCCUCCUUUGGCUAGAUCAAAGUCCACCAUGUUUCUGUUUCUUUGCAUGACUGUUGAUAAUGUAGGUGUUCUUAUAAACCUUGGAAGACAGUAGUAAUCUCAACUUCCAGAAUUGUUAAGAAAGCCUCCUUUUCUUGUAUGUUGUAUGUUCUUGUUUGGUUUUUAACAAAGCCUUGAAGAAAUAGGCUG
rnacentral:lncRNA from 7 species